rnacentral:ncRNA from 15 species
CACUAUGUUGCGCUCGUUGGUGCCCGACCAGACGCGGCUGUCGGUCGGGCUUAAAAGGGAAUCCGGUGCGAAUCCGGAACUGCCCCGCAGCGGUAAGCGGAAACGAAACUCCUCACAUGCACUGGGUCGCAGCACCUGGGAAGCGAGGGGGACUAGGUGGGCCUUCGGGCCCGGGUCCGCGAGUCCGAAGACCUGCCAGCACGUCGGGCCCCAUG